UACGUAGGGGGCUAGCGUUGUCCGGAAUCAUUGGGCGUAAAGCGCGUGUAGGCGGUCCGGUAAGUCCGCUGUGAAAGUCGGGGGCUCAACCCUCGAAUGCCGGUGGAUACUGUCGGGCUAGAGUGCGGAAGAGGCGAGUGGAAUUCCUGGUGGUAGCGGUGAAAUGCGCAGAUAUCAGGAAGAACACCCGUGGCGAAGGCGGUUCUCUGGGACGGUACUGACGCUGAGACGCGAAAGCGUGGGGAGCGAACAGG
rnacentral:rRNA from 1 species